CCUACGGGGGGCUGCAGUGGGGAAUAUUGGACAAUGGGGGCAACCCUGAUCCAGCCAUGCCGCGUGUGUGAAGAAGGCCCUCGGGUUGUAAAGCACUUUCAGUGAGGAAGAACGCCUGGUGGUUUAUACCCAUCAGGAAAGACAUCACUCACAGAAGAAGCACCGGCUAACUCCGUGCCAGCAGCCGCGGUAAUACGGAGGGUGCGAGCGUUAAUCGGAAUUACUGGGCGUAAAGCGCGCGUAGGUGGCUUGAUAAGCCGGUUGUGAAAGCCCCGGGCUCAACCUGGGAACGGCAUCCGGAACUGUCAAGCUAGAGUGCAGGAGAGGAAGGUAGAAUUCCCGGUGUAGCGGUGAAAUGCGUAGAGAUCGGGAGGAAUACCAGUGGCGAAGGCGGCCUUCUGGACUGACACUGACACUGAGGUGCGAAAGCGUGGGUAGCAAACAGGAUUAGAUACCCGUGUAGUC
rnacentral:rRNA from 1 species